AAUGACUCUCAUUGCAGAAUUCCGCGAAUCAUCGAGUUUUUGAACGCAAGUUGCGCCCGAGGCUCGUCCCGAGGGCAUGCCCGCCUGAGCGUCCG
rnacentral:rRNA from 1 species